rnacentral:rRNA from 1 species
GCAUAUCAAUAAGCGGAGGAAAAGAAACUAACAAGGAUUCCCCUAGUAACGGCGAGUGAAGCGGGAAGAGCUCAAAUUUAAAAUCUGGCGGUCUUUGGCCGUCCGAGUUGUAUUCUAGAGAAGUGUUUUCCGCGCUGGACCGUGUACAAGUCUCUUGGAACAGAGCGUCAUAGAGGGUGAGAAUCCCGUCUUUGACACGGACUACCAGUGCUUUGUGAUGCGCUCUCAAAGAGUCGAGUUGUUUGGGAAUGCAGCUCAAAAUGGGUGGUAAAUUCCAUCUAAAGCUAAAUAUUGGCGAGAGACCGAUAGCGAACAAGUACCGUGAGGGAAAGAUGAAAAGCACUUUGGAAAGAGAGUUAAACAGUACGUGAAAUUGCUGAAAGGGAAACGCUUGAAGUCAGUCGCGUUAGCUAGAACUCAGCCUUGCUUUUGCCUGGUGCAUUUUCUAGUUGACGGGCCAGCAUCAGUUUUGAUCGCAGGAUAAAGGUCAGAGGAAUGUGGCACCUUCGGGUGUGUUAUAGCCUUUGAUUGUAUACUGUGGUUGGGACUGAGGAUCACAGCACGCCUUUAUGGCCGGGGUUCGCCCACGUUCGUGCUUAGGAUGCUGGCGUAAUGGCUUUAAACGACCCGUCUUGAAACACGGACCAAGGAGUCUAACAUACCUGCGAGUAUUUGGGUGGUAAACCCGAGUGCGUAAUGAAAGUGAAAGUUGGGAUCCCUGUCGUGGGGAGCACCGACGCCCGGACCAGACCUUCUGUGACGGCUCCGCGGUAGAGCAUGUAUGCUGGGACCCGAAAGAUGGUGAACUAUGCCUGAAUAGGGUGAAGCCAGAGGAAACUCUGGUGGAGGCUCGUAGCGAUUCUGACGUGCAAAUCGAUCGUCAAAUUUGGGUAUAGGGGCGAAAGACUAAUCGAACCAUCUAGUAGCU